rnacentral:lncRNA from 1 species
ACCAGUUUAUAUAUAUGAAACACCAGUUUCUAACGGCUCUUUUUUGGCGCCAUUUUUGGCAGUUUCAGAAAUUCCAUUUUUUUCGGCAAAUCAUAUUCUCUCUCUUCAACUCUUUUUAAUUCAGAUUCUUCUAUAUUCCAGUAUCUCUCAACAGUACACUCCCGUCCACCACGCUGCCACAGCCGCUAACCCCCACCUCCCAAGAAGCCGUCAACAUAAACCCCAAACCCGACAAUGAAUUCCAACAAAAAUAACAUUCACAUCUUUCAUCCAUCGACUUUAAUUAAGAAAGUGAUUAAAAAAACAAGAUUUAGAAAGAAAAAUACAAAUAGAGAUCCAAUUGAAGAAAAAGAGUGAAAGAUUAUAAUCUGAGUUUUUUUGUCAAAAAAAAGAAAACAGUAUUGAUAUUUUACCUAAAGAUCUCUUCUUGAAUCUGAAUUUUUUUCCCCUCUAUUUCUUCAUUGAGAGGAAAAAUGCAAACUUAAAAGAUGUAGAGCGAUACUAAGCUCUGCUUCAGGGCCCCAAUCUCACCAUCCCUCGCAACCUCAGAGCAGCGCUUACAGAGGAUUUACGUCUUGGAUUUUGAGAUCGACGAGGGUGGACAUUACAUGAAUUUCCUUCAUUCCUCCACGUGCUAGCGGCGACUAAAUCUGGCAACAAUCGCAUCGCCGUUUAAGAAAAUAAAUGGGGAGGAUGAAUCUGCACGAUGAUGGAGAAGAAAAUAAAUGGCGAUUAAGAAAAUAAAAACAGAAAUACAGGAGAAAAAGAGGACGCACACAGAAAGAAAAGAAAUACAAGCGGCGCUGCUAAAGAUAGAAUAAAUUAGGGUUGGACUAUGUUUAAUUCGAAAUGAUUGUAUUUAUUUU